GUCUGUGUUUGUUUAGCAGCUCGUUAAGUUCGUUCCUCUUUCUGAGUUGAACGAUGCCAUUGACGUUUUGGAACAUUAUUUUUACUGGCAUUUUAGUUGAGUGCGAUUUGGAUCAGGAAGUCGAGGAUUAGCUGUUGCUUCCCUUUUUUGUCCGAGCUGGUGUUUGGGUACUUCUUGACCAAGGACUGCAUGAUGUCGAAGCAGGUAAGCAGAUCCUUUCCAAAUGCGUCCACUGAGUCUCCGUUCAGCUGUUCGAAAGAGAAACUGGCGUUGUUUUCAGCCUUUUGUUGUUUCUCAUGGUUAAAUCUCGGAGUUACUUUCUGUUGUGCAGGUGUUGGUGUUGGUCCGGUUUUGGCUGCUGAGGCGUAGCUUCGUCCCUUUUCUACUCUGUUUCGAGUAGGUGCAGGUGUUGCGAUUGUCUUGGCUGCUCUCUUUUGCGUGAGAUUUUGCCUUUCUGUGACUUUCUUUAGGUAUUCCAUACGUACGGGGCAAAUCUUUGCAUUGGCCGUAUGGUUACCUGUGCAGUGGACGCAGGUCUAUCUGAAUCAUCCACAGUUUGUCCUUGUAGGCCUUGACUGACAUUAUAUUUAGUUCAGGUACGGCCUCGACUAGGGCUUCUUUUACCUCCUCUGCAGUGUAUAUUUCGAGAGGCAGUUUUCUUAAAAUGACCGUAUGCGGCUUUAUUUGUUUAGGUGUGUAACUGUAGUAUAGCACCUUGUUCUUGUUAAAUUUCUCCUUGGUUAGGUUGAAUUCUGCCAGGGAGAAGAGCUUAACAUGGAUGACAUUUUUGUUCACUAUAUUUAGUGUGAACUUUUUUGAUGUGUCCUUCAUUAGUUUUGUCAGUGCCUUUGGGUUUUUUUCAUAUGUUACAAUGACCGGUAGACCUUUUUCUUUUAAAGGUUCUGCUACCUGCUGUUUCCUGGGCGUUGGUUUUUUGAUCCCCGCAAGUCCAGUGGGCUUGGGUGGUGUUGGUAGGAUCGGGAAUUCGUUAUAGCCUAACUCAUCCUCACCUGGGGCUUGGUUGGUUAAGACACUGGAACUCUCGUUGUUAUUUGCUGUUUUUUUGUGUUGGGGGUUUGGUGUUUUUUGUUUUUUAGGGGUUGAUGCUGGU
rnacentral:lncRNA from 1 species